UACGUAGGGACCAAGCGUUGUUCGGAUUUACUGGGCGUAAAGGGCGCGUAGGCGGCCACCGCAAGUCAAUUGUGAAAUCUCCGGGCUUAACUCGGAAAGGUCAACUGAUACUGCGGGGCUAGAGUGCGGAAGGGGCAACUGGAAUUCUCGGUGUAGCGGUGAAAUGCGUAGAUAUCGAGAGGAACACCUGCGGCGAAGGCGGGUUGCUGGGCCGACACUGACGCUGAGGCGCGAAAGCCAGGGGAGCAAACGGG
rnacentral:rRNA from 1 species